GUGAAUCAUCAAAUUUUUGAACGCAAAUUGCGCUUCCUGGCAUCCCGGGAAGUAUGCCUGUUUGAGGGUCAGUAUUAACAAAAAAUCGGUUUGGUUGCAAAUUGUGGCGUUUCCGGCGUUUGGGCUAUCUUAACUUUUUUGGUUAAGGGGCUUAAAAUUGACCUUUUUUGCGCAUUUUUAGACGUACAUAAAUUUUUUUUUAAUCGUUCUAUUUUUAUUGCCAAAUUCUAAUUAGAGACCAUAUCU
rnacentral:misc_RNA from 1 species